rnacentral:rRNA from 1 species
GACGAACGCUGGCGGCGUGCUUAACACAUGCAAGUCGAACGGAAAGGUCCGGCUUUCGUGCGGUGCCCGAGUGGCGACCGGGUGCGUGACACGUGAGUAUCCUGCCCCUGCCCUUCGGCUAACUUUAGGAAACUGGGGCUCAUACCGGUAACGAGCUCCUGCUGUUUGGUGGGGGCUGGAAAGUCUCGGCGGUUGGGGAUGGACUCGCGGCUUAGCAGCUUGUUGGUGGGGUAGUGGCUUACCAAGGCUUUGACGGGUAGCCGGCCUGAGAGGGUGACCGGCCACAGUGGGACUGAGAUACGGCACAGAGUCGUACGGGAGACAGCAGUAGGGAAUAUUGCACGAUGGGCGGAAGCCUGGUGCAGCAACGCCGCGUGCGGGAUGACGGCCUUCGUUUUGGAGGCCGUUUUCUCCUGUGACGGAGCGUGAGUGACGGUAAUGGAUAAAGAAGCACCGGCUAACUACGUG